UAAUACGGAGGGUGCGAGCGUUAAUCGGAAUUACUGGGCGUAAAGCGCGCGUAGGCAGCGUGAUCAGCCGGUUGUGAAAGCCCCGGGCUCAACCUGGGAACGGCAUCCGGAACUGUCACGCUAGAGUGCAGGAGAGGAAGGUAGAAUUCCCGGUGUAGCGGUGAAAUGCGUAGAGAUCGGGAGGAAUACCAGUGGCGAAGGCGGCCUUCUGGACUGACACUGACGCUGAGGUGCGAAAGCAUGGGUAGCAAACAGGAUUAGAUACCCUGGUAGUCCAUGCCGUAAACGAUGUCGACUAGCCGUUGGGGUCCUUGUGACCUUUGUGGCGCAGUUAACGCGAUAAGUCGACCGCCUGGGGAGUACGGCCGCAAGGUUAAAACUCAAAUGAAUUGACGGGGGCCCGCACAAGCGGUGGAGCAUGUGGUUUAAUUCGAUGCAACGCGAAGAACCUUACCUACUCUUGACAUCGUGCGAACUUGGUAGAGAUACCUUGGUGCCUUCGGGAACGCACAGACAGGUGCUGCAUGGCCGUCGUCAGCUCGUGUUGUGAAAUGUUGGGUUAAGUCCCGUAACGAGCGCAACCCCUAUCCCUAUUUGCCAGCGAUUCGGUCGGGAACUCUAGGGAGACUGCCGGUGACAAACCGGAGGAAGGUGGGGAUGACGUCAGGUCAUCAUGGCCCUUACGAGUAGGGCCACACACGUGCUACAAUGGCCGGUACAAAGGGUUGCGAAGCCGCGAGGUGGUGCUAAUCCCGAAAAGCCGGUCUCAGUCCGGAUCGGAGUCUGCAACUCGACUCCGUGAAGUCGGAAUCGCUAGUAAUCGUGAAUCAGAAUGUCACGGUGAAUACGUUCCCGGGCCUUGUACACACCGCCCGUCACACCAUGGGAGUGGACUGCACCAGAAGUGGUUAGCUUAACCUUCGGGAGAGCGAUCACCACGGUGUGGCUCAUGACUGGGGUGAAGUCGUAACAAGGUAACAA
rnacentral:rRNA from 1 species